CUGGAGCUCCUAGAACAGAGCCUGGACAUUAGCUGUCGGGACGGUCACUGGAGGUCAAGGUCUACAGCAUUUAUUUGAACCAGUUACAUAUCUCCUUUUCAUAACGCUCCCUGGAGUUACAGUCACACAUGGUUACUUCAGCCUUCAUGAAAGCACACAGUGACAAGACUCUUUGAGAUGUGCUGUGGAUGACUGCAGUCGGUGGCUGGGUUCUACGGGGACAUUGCAUCUUAAAACAAAUGAUCAGAAAUAAUUCUUCCCUAAGACAAAUGGCCCUUUCCUCUUUCGUUGCCAAGGUGAUUCCUAUUCAACACCAGGGUGGGUCAUUCCUUUUGCAAGAGGCUUGCCUCAUCAGCUACACUGGAGCUCUGUCCUGCUUCCUGCGCCCUGCUGCCCGCUAGACCCCUGCCAAUGCCCUUAGGAGCCUGUGGGGCCUGGUGGAAGUGAACAGACUUUCUACCUGAGUCCAACAGAGCAGGAAUACCGGAGACCCCUGAGGCCGGAAGCUACAGAAUACAGGAUGGGGUAGACUGUUCUGAUCUCACAGUUAUAAGUGGAGCGCUGUUUGCAACAGCUGACAAACCGGGUGUACAGUCUAUGUGUGUCGCACGCACAAGUGUCAUUGUCAGCGCUUG